CAUGCAAGUCGAACGGAAAGGCCCUUUCGGGGGUACUCGAGUGGCGAACGGGUGAGUAACACGUGGGUGAUCUGCCCUGCACUUUGGGAUAAGCCUGGGAAACUGGGUCUAAUACCGGAUAGGACUACGCGAUGCAUGUCGUGUGGUGGAAAGCUUUUGCGGUGUGGGAUGGGCCCGCGGCCUAUCAGCUUGUUGGUGGGGUGAUGGCCUACCAAGGCGACGACGGGUAGCCGGCCUGAGAGGGUGACCGGCCACACUGGGACUGAGAUACGGCCCAGACUCCUACGGGAGGCAGCAGUGGGGGAUAUUGCACAAUGGGCGCAAGCCUGAUGCAGCGACGCCGCGUGAGGGAUGACGGCCUUCGGGUUGUAAACCUCUUUCAGCUCCGACGAAGCGCAAGUGACGGUAGGAGUAGAAGAAGGACCGGCCAACUACGUGCCAGCAGCCGCGGUAAUACGUAGGGUCCGAGCGUUGUCCGGAAUUACUGGGCGUAAAGAGCUCGUAGGUGGUUUGUCGCGUUGUUCGUGAAAACUCACA
rnacentral:rRNA from 1 species